UCGUCUAAGCGCGACUGGCGCAUUUGGUGGAACAACCACCGGGGAGCGGAAACGGCGGAGGCCGCGCGCCUGGGUCUCCGCG
rnacentral:ncRNA from 1 species